CCUAGAUGAAAUGAACAAAUUAUUUCAAAGAAACCUACUGGCCAGGCACAGUGGCUCACACCUGUAAUCCCAGCACAUUAGGAGGCUAAGGAGAGCAGAUCACUUGAGCUAAGGAGUUCAAGACCAGCCUGGCCAAAAUAGGGAGACUCCAUCACUACAAAAAUUUAUUUAAGAGAUUAGCUGAGCAAGCCGGGCGCGGUGACUCACGCCUGUAAUCCCAGCACUUUGGGAGGCAGAAGCAGGCGGAUCACGAGGUCAUGAGAUCAAGACCACCCUGGCUAAAACGGUGAAACCCCAGACUCUACUAAAAAAUACAAAAAAAUUAGCCAGGCGUGGCAGCGGGCGCCUGUAGUCCCAGAUGGUGGCUAGAGAAAAUCUGUUUUGAACUUGGGUUAGACAAGUAUUUCUUAGAUAUAGUAACAAAAGCACACCUAUGAAAGAAGAAAUUAAUGCCAUUAGCCGUUAACAAAAUGCAAAUUAAAACCAUAAUGAGAUGUCACUGCAUACCUAUUACAGUAACUAAAACUAAAAAGACUGAUUAUUCCACAUGUUGACUAGGAUGUGGAAAAUCUCUAAUUACUGUACACUGCUGAUAGGAAUGUAAAAUGGUACAACCACUUUGAAAAACAAUUUGGCAAUUUCUUCAAAAGUUUAAUGUAUACUUGUUAGAAGAUUCAGCCAUUCUACUCCUAGGUGUUUAUCCAAGAGAUGUGAAAACAUACAUCCAUUCAAAGACUUGUACGUGGAUAGUCAUAACAACUUUAUUUGUAACAGCCACAAACUGAAAACAACUCAAAUGCCCAUUCACAGGUGAAUCGAUAAAUUCUGGAACAGUCACACAAUGAAAUACUAUUCAGCAAGAAAAAGGAAUGAACUUUUGUUACACGCAACAGUAUGGAUGAAUCUCAAAAUAAUUAUGUUCAGUAAAAGAAACCAGACAAGAUGACUAAGUACUGCAUAAUUCCAGUUAUAUGAACGUUUUAAAGAUGCAGACUAAUCUACAAUGACAUAAAGCAGGUCAGAGGUUUUCUGAGGAUGAGUCGGGCAGGAGGGGGGCACUACAAAGGGGCAGGAGGAAACUUUUAGGGGUGAUGAAUAUGUUCACUAUCUUGACAGUGGUGAUAGUUUUGUGAGUAUAUACUUAUGGCAAUAAUUAUGAAAUGAUAUACUUUGCUUUCUUCAACUUUUAU
rnacentral:lncRNA from 1 species